rnacentral:misc_RNA from 1 species
UUAAGUUCAGCGGGUAUCCCUACCUGAUCCGAGGUCAAAAUAGAAGGGGUAGCUUAUGGGAGCCAAUACACCGGGACCCGAGGUUCGCGUUUCUGCUUGCGCUCGAAGCCAAUGUACUAGCCGCCAAUGAUUUCAAGGCGAGUCCCGGCCCCGGGGGGCAGGACAGACACCCAACACCAAGCGGAGCUUGAGGGUUUAAA